rnacentral:rRNA from 1 species
UGGGUAACCUACCCAUAAGACUGGGUAUAACUCCGGGAAACCGGGGCUAAUACCGGAUAAUAUUUUGAACUGCAUAGUUCGAAAUUGAAAGGCGGCUUCGGCUGNCACUUAUGGAUGGACCCGCGUCGCAUUAGCUAGUUGGUGAGGUAACGGCUCACCAAGGUCGACGAUGCGUAGCCGACCUGAGAGGGUGAUCGGCCACACUGGGACUGAGACACGGCCCAGACUCCUACGGGAGGCAGCAGUAGGGAAUCUUCCGCAAUGGACGAAAGUCUGACGGAGCAACGCCGCGUGAGUGAUGAAGGCUUUCGGGUCGUAAAACUCUGUUGUUAGGGAAGAACAAGUGCUAGUUGAAUAAGCUGGCACCUUGACGGUACCUAACCAGAAAGCCACGGCUAACUACGUGCCAGCAGCCGCGGUAAUACGUAGGUGGCAAGCGUAUUCCCCGGNANUUAUUGGGGCGUAAAGCGCGCGCAGGUGGUUUCUUAAGUCUGAUGUGAAAGCCCACGGCUCAACCGUGGAGGGUCAUUGGAAACUGGGAGACUUGAGUGCAGAAGAGGAAAGUGGAAUUCCAUGUGUAGCGGUGAAAUGCGUAGAGAUAUGGAGGAACACCCAGUGGCGAAGGCGA